rnacentral:rRNA from 1 species
UACAGAGGGUGCGAGCGUUAAUCGGAAUUACUGGGCGUAAAGCGUGCGUAGACGGUUUCGUAAGUCGGGUGUGAAAGUCCCGGGCUCAACCUGGGAAUUGCAUUCGAGACUGCGUAGCUAGGGUGCGGAAGAGGGAAGCGGAAUUUCCGGUGUAGCGGUGAAAUGCGUAGAUAUCGGAAGGAACAUCAGUGGCGAAAGCGGCUUCCUGGUCCAGCACCGACGUUCAGGCACGAAAGCGUGGGGAGCAAACAGG